CCAAGGGUAAAUUAUUACAAAAAAUCAUGUCUUGUGUUUUGCUACCUUUCAAGUUAGAAACUCAAAAUAUACAAAGCUAGCUAUGGAUAUGGCAGAUAUCUAUAAAACGAAUACAUGAAACUAGCUAAAUUCUGAUAAAAUUAACAUUUUCCCCAAACAAGUCUAACACACAGAAUAAUUAACACCUCUUACAAGAUCACAUGUAACCAGAAUAAAUAAAGAAAAAGGGGGAACAAAUGUAGCUGCUGUACAAGA
rnacentral:lncRNA from 1 species